rnacentral:rRNA from 1 species
CAGCCGCCGCGGUAAUACGAAGGGGGCUAGCGUUGUUCGUAUUUACUGGGCGUAAAGCGCACGUAGGCGGACUUUUAAGUCAGGGGUGAAAUCCCGGGGCUCAACCCCGGAACUGCCUUUGAUACUGGAAGUCUUGAGUAUGGUAGAGGUGAGUGGAAUUCCGAGUGUAGAGGUGAAAUUCGUAGAUAUUCGGAGGAACACCAGUGGCGAAGGCGGCUCACUGGACCAUUACUGACGCUGAGGUGCGAAAGCGUGGGGAGCAAACAGGAUUAGAUACCCGAGUAGUCCCUGUCUCUUAUAC